AAACAUCUUUGGGGAAAAAAGAGGAAAAAAAACCCCAAACCCCACAACCAGGGGGGCGAGGAGUGUCGGGGGGGGGACACACAACCUCUACCCCUGGGCAAAUUGUAGCAAAAAAACCUCAUUUUUUUUGUUCUUCCUCCCCACAAGGUCCAACCCUCACAAGAGUCAUUUCCUGCCUCCGUUGGGACGGGUCAAGAAAUUCCGAGGAGCGGCGGCACCGGACGGGACCCAGGGAUAAGAUGACGAACUUUUUAAUUGCAGCGCUCUUGGUUUUGCAUUUUUUACCAGGUGAUUAUUUAUAUGCCACUGUAGAAUAUUACUCCGAAAACACCACGUUGAUACCCACCAUAUACACCUACGAGGUGAGUCCUGCUGUUUCUUCACAUUCCCAAGAAAAAAAAAGAAAUUCCUUGCCGGAACCACUGUUGAAAAAAAGAAAGAAAUGGAUUAAAAACGUUGAUUUUUUAAACUGCUGAACAACUUAAAUGAGUUUGGGCAAAGAGCGUCAGGCAG
rnacentral:lncRNA from 1 species